GCAAGACUCUCCUGUUUCUCCUAUACACGUGUCAUAAUCUCAACAGGAUUUAUUCUUAUUAUGUUAUCAGAUGUCCUUUCACUUCUCUGAUGGUUAUUUAUGACGGUUGGAGAAACGAAUCGUAUCCAGGACUUUAUAGCCAGAUGUGUCCCUGUUAAUUUCUUUUCGAGUUACGAGGAGUGGUCCUAAGUAUACAUGACACACGCGCACGUCCUUCCAGACGCGUCUUGAUGGCUGCUGUUGUUUGGAUUACUAAAGCGCGAUUCUUUGAAUGCCCAUAAAUGUUUUAUUUUGAGUAUAAAAAUAGGUUUUUAUCUCCACUUUCUUACUUUCACAGCCUUCACUGUUCUUGCUCUAUCUAUUUGCUAUUCUUAGAGUCCCUCUCGCUUUUUUCUUCCUUUGUUCAGCUUUCUAAGUUUUAGGUACGCAUCUCUCUUCUAAUGACUCCUCUAUCGUUCCCCCGAAUUGAAAAGAUCAUUUCUAGGGUAAUCCCAUCUCUCUUCAGGAAGCUUUCCAUCGAUCCUUCCUUUCUAUGGAGACUCACUAUAUUUUAGCUCUGAAUCCAAACGAACGAAUUGCCCUGUUCUCCUUGCCUUCUCUCCCUGGUCCAGUGGACGCCCAAUUUGAGAGGAGGCUCAUUUUCUAUUUGAAACAAAUUGAUUAUGGCAUUUCUUUCCCUUUUUCUAGGUUUGUCCACUUUGUUUUUAGAUUUUACUAAGUCACCACUUGGAUGUUGACUUCGAAUUCCAUUUUGUUCAUGAUUGCCUUUGAGGCAAUGUAUUGAGGUUGGGUUUUACUCCUUCCUUGAGCUUGUUUAGGGUAUUUUUCAAGAUUUUAAAGGCUAAUAAUAGAUUCCUGAGUUUCUGUGGCAGAAAUAGCCAUUUUUACCAGCCAUAAGAACUCUUUUAAGUAUUGGAUAGAUAGUGUCACCAUAAUUGGAGCCAAAAGAAACUUUGAUUGGGGCUUAGAGUUAGGAUGGGGGACUAUUGAUACUUUUUGUAGCGUCUUUCCUUUUCUCUCUGAGUGAAAGCAGUUGUACUUUAUCGGAUCUCCUUCUUUUCUUUCAAAUAUGACAUUUUCAAGUGUUUGGAUAUUCGACCGUGGGAAGGUUGUAAUGCUGCCAAUAUUUAACUAUUCUUUUGUUGUUGCUUCUUUGUUAGCUUUGCUUAUUUUAUGUUUUUAUUUAUUUUUGGUACUUUUUGCAGCUUCCAUAGUCCCCAUAGAGGAUAUUUCGACUCCCCAUAAUUUUUUCCUCAAUCGUGAUAUUGUCCGGCAUGCUGUUGAGGCUUUCAAGACCUAGAAAACCAUGGGCCUGUGUCAACUCAGGUCUUCUCCUGCUGAGGAGGUUGGUGGAGGCUUGAAGCUAAAAAUUAUCGCCUGCCUUAGGAGACGACCGCUACUGCUUCAGGGAUGAUAGGAAAGAAAAAGAGGCUAGUGAAGGAAUCCGAGCUGGUCUCUUCUCAGAAGAGGACUUCAUCUUCCUCUCUUUCAAGAAAACCCUCCUCGGUUAAAGUGAGCAAGGGCAAAGGCAAGGAGGGCCAGUCUCAAGAGGCUUUCCAAUGAGUCAAGGCUGUCUUUCUAACUGAGCCUUGAUUCUACUCCUACCUCAAUUGCUGAGCUGCUGAGCAAUCACGUCUUCGGGCUAUCCCCUGAUUUGACUGAUCAUCGGAUGGUGAGAAAAAUUUGCAGGGUGAUUGAGUCCACCGAUCAGUCAAACUCAUUCACUAUUCGGAUGGAGGAGGACCUUUUUGGAGCUUCUAAGAGACAAGUUCUUAUUCUUUUGGGAGCUCUAUUAGAGCUUGAGAAUAAAAGAGUCGGUGCUCGGUAAGCUACCUUCCAAGAUAUUGAAAAAGCUAAAGGAGAGGAAACUGCUCGAGUAAUUACUACACUAAAGAGCUAAUACGAGGGGGAGAUGAACCGGCUGGAAGGGCUUCUUCAAGAUAACUAGGCCGAGGGUGAGAAGAUUGCUCUCCUGGAACUGCAAAUUGCUGAGGAGAGAUCUGCUACAAAAGCUAAGCUUGCUCAAGAGAAUGCUUCUGCGGAUCAGAGGGAAAGAAGUCUUUCAGCCCGGUCUGCCCAGCUUGAGGGGGAGAUGACAUAGUUAUCCGGGAAUUGGGGGAGGUCAAGUUGGAGUUGAGUAAUGUUCGAGGGAGCUCGAGUGCUUCUGAAGCUAUGAAGAGACAACUUGAGAGCGAGGUCCACGAUCUUUCUGCAUGAUGCAAUGACUAUGAAAAGAAGAUCGUUUGGAGUCAGGUCAACAAAUAUCUUAAGUUAGAUGAGUUUAAUGGCAAGGUCUUUGAAUAUUCCAUCCACUUUUAUGCGAUGGGCUUCAACGAUGACCUCCUAAAAGCUUGCGAGUCUCCGGCUGCUCCUCUUAGCACUCUCCGGGCUGUACAGUAUGACUCCAGUGGCGAAAAAGUGCAAUACAACCUUGAUGAGCGCGCUCUUUCCAAAGUGUGUCCUCCUCCCAAAGGGGCGUUGGCUGGCUUGGCAUUGAGUUCGAUCAAGACACCGAUCAGAUUGGUGAAAGUCCACUUGCGCUUGAGGCUGUAAAUGCCACUACGGAUUCUCCUUUGGCAAGUGAUGUUAUAGCAGCUCCGACCGUCGCAAUUGUUAAUGUUUUAGAGAAAACUUUCGAAGUUGAGUCCAACCUGACCGGAGACGUUAUCUCUUCUGAGGAGAAUUGAAGACCUUUCUCUUUUUCAAUAAUUUCUAUUUGUAAAUAUAUAACAGGCUAGUAUUUAAUUUCUAUUUGUAAAUAUGUAAU